rnacentral:rRNA from 1 species
GACGAACGCUGGCGGCGUGCUUAACACAUGCAAGUCGAGCGGAGCGGCGAACGGGUGAGUAACGCGUGAGUAACUGCCCCCCUCUCUGGGAUCACAGUUGGAAACGGCUGCUAAUACCGGAUAGUGGGGGAUGACUCGCGUCCUGUCAGCUUGUUGGUGGGGUAGUGGCCUACCAAGGCGACGACGGGUAGCCGGCCUGAGGGGGCGACCGGCCACAUUGGGCUGAGAUACAGCCCGUGCGCCUACAGGAGGCAGCAGUGGGGGAUAUUGCACGAUGGAAGGAAACCUACGGCAGCAACGCGCGUGCGGGAUGAGGGCCUUCGGGUAGUAAACAGCUUUCAGCCAUAAGGCGGUAGUGGCAGAAGAAGCACCGGCUAACUACGUGCCAGCAGCCGCGGUUGUUC